GCUACUAUUUUGUUUUAUGCACUUUAUAUAUGUCCCUGUAUAUUUGUGAACACUAUUAAAUUUUGAAUAAGUAUCCCCACUCUUUAUUGGAAUUAUUAUAUCUCCUGUAUCCUGAUCCAAGUGGAGAAUCCUGGAGACGUGGUAGAGUUCAGCAUACCAGGGAAUUAUUAAAGAGCAACUAUAGUCAGAGCCUACUAUACGUGGCUCUGCAAAGUGUGAGUGAAAAUCCACAUUUACUUACUAUAUUAUUUGGUUAAACAGUAUUAUGCUAUGUUUGGAUCUCUUUGUAUAUAGGUUACAUUUAAAGGACUGACCAGUGUCUCUAAGUAUACCAUAUACAUUUGUAUUUGCAC